UGGUGAGGACACAAAUUUGGGGUCCAGCUCCUUGCGUGAAUGUGCAAGGAAUUUAGAACCUGCAUCUUUAAUAUAACAUGCUUACUGAAGCUGAACCUGAGCUGCUGCUUAAUUAUUGAACCUGAUGAAAACGAAGCCACUCAGACAGAGCUGCAGUGUUGUGGCUAUUUGAGAUUCAUGGGGUUCAGGAGGAUAUGUGAGAAGGAAAAGGAUUCUGAGCUAUGAGUAGAAAGUAGCAACAAUCAACUGUAGCAAAACAUUUGUAGCUUCGGUGUAAGACUGAAUCUUCUGAUGAUGAUUAGCUCUUUUGGUGUUUGGC